GUCUACAUGUCACUCAAGAGGAUCUAGGUCAAGGGGCGUGGCCACUCUCACCUGCUCUGCUCCAGCCAGCUGCAGAUCAUUCCAGUAAUCAACCAACACCCAGCUGCAGCUCAUUCCAGUACUCAACCAACAGUUAUCUACCCGGGCUGUUCACCUCUUCAGCGCCAGUUCGUUGCAACCAUUCCUGUGAUCCCGCCUCUGGACCUGCUGCUUUUCGGUUCUCAUCUGCCUCCUCGCUGCCUGCUCACCUCGCAACUCCGUUCUCAACCAGCCUUUCCAACCAGCUCUCGUCUUCGCUGCCUGGCCACACACCCGCCGUCUGAUCUCCAGCUUCGACUCCACCUGGAGCUGCUCUCCUGGCCAUUCCCUCCUGCACUAUCCACAUUGUGUCCAAUAAAACACUGCUAACCGCU